rnacentral:lncRNA from 1 species
GCCUUUCCUUUAAUGGUUGGGGAAAGCAUUCCCUUAUCUGAACUUGGUGGGCAUUCUUUCCAGCCUUAGUAAAAUAGGGGGUGGGUUUGGCUUGAACAUAGGCUCAAACAGAAUUUGAAGGGUCCUAGCUACGCCAUGCGUUCAAUACAAAAUCUGGAAAGCUGCAGGGAUGACAAAAAGAGGGCGCUUUCCUGUGUUGCACUGAAAAAAAGGACCUAAGAGACGAGCGUCUUCUCUUAGGUUUCUUCCUCCCGCGCCCGUCGCCGCCCGGCCCGCGUUAGAGGGGAAGAUUAGCAAAGCGGGAAAAGAAAGAGGGAAGGGGAGCAGCAUCUUAUUCUCUUCGCGAGAACUUCCGGAUCGUAGAAGCAUUCGGAACGGGCUCCGCGUUCAUUUCGCCUUAGUCCUAGCUACGCUAUGCGUUCAAUACAAAAUCUGGAAAGCUGCAUGGAUGACAAAAAGAGGGCGCUUUCCUGUGUUGCACUGAAAAAAAGGACCUAAGAGACGAGCGUCUUCUCUUAGGUUUCUUCCUCCCGCGCCCGUCGCCGCCCGGCCCGCGUUAGAGGGGAAGAUUAGCAAAGCGGGAAAAGAAAGAGGGAAGGGGAGCAGCAUCUUAUUCUCUU